rnacentral:lncRNA from 1 species
GUGACCAUCAGUCAUCUCUCUAUCCAAGUCACAAUGUAUAUAUAUACACUUAACAACUAUAAGUCAAGUAUGACCUUCAAUACAAAACUUUGGCUCACACCGAACAGCAGGCUAUUAAGGACACCGAAAUGAUACGGGUAAAACAAUUCAAACAGGAUCACCAACGGUAAAAUCUUUAUGAAAAAGAGAAACACAUCUGGACCACACCAAC